rnacentral:lncRNA from 1 species
UUGCAUCAAGUGCUCUAGUCUUUAUAACGCUAGAGUAGUAAUUAAUAGAUUAGACGUGGUGUUUAGUCUUGCAAUUACCUGGAAUUGCACCCAAUCCUGCGGAUUGUUGUGGUAGCCUUAGGGUAGUGACAGCCCUAACGGUCGACGUAUUCCACCACGUUCGGAUCGGUGUUUGUAGGACCGUAGUCAGACCUUCCUAGCCCCCUUCUCAUCUCUUUCUGUGGUUAGUGCUCUGAUGUCCCGAUAUAAAUAAUCUUUGAAGUAAUUCUUGAUUCUUAGAUCAACUAGAGAACUCUGAGGAAACUUCCUCUCUUCCCACCAAAAAUAAUUAUAUAGUUAUCCUUGGGCGAUCUUGGGUCUUAAUUAGUACACUCACGUUCUCUGUGGAAAAUCGAUACUCUGGAAUACUCCCGGGUGAAGGCUACAUCGGUAUCCGUGCGCUUGCGGAUUUUUUCUGUUUGCGUUUAAAAUACCCAACAAGCUUUCUGGCGCCGUUGCCGGGGAACGGUAGCUAUGCUAGUUUCGAACCAAGUCGUCCGUGUAUCCUUUUUCUUUUCUUUUUUUUUACCACACUCAUCUUACCAUUUUCACCACACCACAUGGAUUUUACUCUAAGCAUUAAUGAGCAUGGAAUUUAUUUCAUAGCCACUUCAUUUACUCCAUGCUCAUAUGCAACAUCUUCACAAUCCAUUGGUCUUUCCAACAUCACCACAUUCGAGAUCUCCAACCCCCUCAUCCUUUCUAUUUAUAAAAACUUUAAAAGGGCGGUUGUCGAUGCAUAUGUCUAUAUUAAAUAUUGCAGAUCUCGUUGAGUUGAUCUUGAUAUUGGUCAGCGUUGGAGGGGAAACCACUUCGCCGACAUAAAUUGAUGGUUUCCCAAGGACAAGCUUAGUGUCCUAAAACAAGCACUGAUUAGAUCGUAACAUGAGCUUUUAAUUAUUUGCAACAUUGCCUUGUGUAUUGAGCAUAUAAGGAUAAUUGUAAAAAAAAAAUUUCGGGUAUUCUUGUCACUAACCUUUCCAGGAUUGGAGCA